rnacentral:lncRNA from 1 species
GGAGGCGGUGGCAUUGGCGUUCCGGCCAAGGCGUCGAUAAGCAUCGACUUGCCGGAACGGCUAGCGCCGAGCACCGCCAGCACUUCUUCCUCGCGAGCCCCGCAGAGAUGUCGUUCAGCAGCGUCUUGGACGUCCUCGUGAACAGGCUCUCCCCUCCGACUGGCUUCGACAGCGUCGCCGCGCCGUGGGAGGCGCGUGGGAAGUCGUCGAGCUCCUUAGUUAAAAACGGUGAUGUCUGAUUCUCUGACGCCGGUUGGAAUUUCACCGGACGACGACUACCGCCAAAUCAAGAGGGGAGAAGAAGAGAUCGGAGAGGGGAGGAGAAAGAGAGAGGGAAGAGAGGGGGAUCUGUGAUUUGGAUCAGGGAUAGAGAGAUGUGGUUUUAGUGGC